UCCCAUGCUUGUCUUUUCAGUGCGGGAGG
rnacentral:piRNA from 1 species